rnacentral:rRNA from 1 species
AAUAGUAUUUUAUUUGUUUAAUUACAAACAAAUAAUAUUAUGCACUUUUUCCAUAGUAAGACAUUGCAAUUUAUUAGUAUAUAUCAUUUUUUUUUUAUAAAAUUUGAUAGUUUAUUAUACGGCACUAUAUAGCAAGUUUAUUCGCUUUAUAUUAUAUUUUAUUAUAUAAUAUUAUUGAAUAAGGCUAUAAUAAAUGGUGACCCAAUAAACAGCUGAUAAAGUAAACAAUCUAAUUGCACUGGCAUACGCAAGUAUGUAACACGAUUUAUUUCAAUUAUUGAAAUUUGAAUGCAGUGUUAGUGUAUAUUUGAUUAGCAAUGCGAUAGAUUUGGGAUACCUUCGGGACCCGUCUUGAAACACGGACCAAGAAGUCUAACAUGUGUGCAAGUCAUUGGGUAUAAAUUGGAUGAAACCUAAAGGCAUAAUUAAAAUAACUAUAAAAAAUUUUUAAAUGGGAUUAUGAGUGAUCUAAUUUAUGUAUCAUUCUUCCAUCCCGGGGCGCUCAUAUAUAAACAUGAUUUAAGCAAUUGAAUUCUCUGUUUGUGAGCGUACCUUAAGCAUACAUGCUGUGACCCGAAA